rnacentral:tRNA from 1 species
UGCGACAUAGCCAAGCGGUAAGGCAACGUCUUUUAUUCCGCAGGUUCGAAUCCUGCUGUCGCAG